GAGACAUCAGUCGCCGCGGUAAUACGGAGGAUCCAAGCGUUAUCCGGAAUCAUUGGGUUUAAAGGGUCCGUAGGCGGUCUUGUAAGUCAGUGGUGAAAGCCCAUCGCUCAACGGUGGAACGGCCAUUGAUACUGCAGGACUUGAAUUAUUGGGAAGUAACUAGAAUAUGUAGUGUAGCGGUGAAAUGCUUAGAGAUUACAUGGAAUACCAAUUGCGAAGGCAGGUUACUACCAAUUGAUUGACGCUGAUGGACGAAAGCGUGGGGAGCAAACAGGAUUAGAUACCCCCGUAGUCCCUGUCUCUUAUAC
rnacentral:rRNA from 1 species